GACGAACGCUGGCGGCGUGCCUAACACAUGCAAGUCGAACGGAAACGCCCUGCUUUUGUGGGGUGCUCGAGUGGCGAACGGGUGAGUAACACGUGAGUAACCUGCCCUUGACUUUGGGAUAACUUCAGGAAACUUGGGCUAAUACCGGAUAGGAUCUCCUGCUGCAUGGUGGGGGUUGGAUAGUUUCGGCGGUUGGGGAUGGACUCGCGGCUUAUCAGCUUGUUGGUUGGGUAGUGUCUUACCAAGGCUUUGACGGGUAGCCGGCCUGAGAGGGUGACCGGACACAUUGGGACUGGGAUGCGACACAGACUCGUACGGGAGGCAGGGGUGGGGAAUAGUGCACUAGGGGCGGAAGGCUGAUGCAGCAACGCCGCGUGCGGGAAGACGGGAUUCGGGUUGGAAAGCGCUUUCGCCUGAGACGGAGCGUGAGUGACGGUAAUGGGUAAAGAAGCACCGGCUAACUACGUG
rnacentral:rRNA from 1 species